rnacentral:rRNA from 1 species
UGGUUAAGUGACUCACCGA